GAUGAACGCUAGCGAUAGGCUUAACACAUGCAAGUCGAGGGGCAGCAUGGUCUUAGCUUGCUAAGACUGAUGGCGACCGGCGCACGGGUGCGUAACGCGUAUGCAACUUGCCUCACAGAGGGGGAUAACCCGUCGAAAGACGGACUAAUACCGCGUACACUCCAUCUUGGGCAUCCAAGGUAGAGGAAAUGAAAUUCGCUGUGAGAUAGGCAUGCGUCCCAUUAGCUAGUUGGUGAGGUAACGGCUCACCAAGGCGACGAUGGGUAGGGGAACUGAGAGGUUGAACCCCCACACUGGUACUGAGACACGGACCAGACUACUACGGGAGGCAGCAGUGAGGAAUGUUGGUCAAUGGGCGAGAGCCUGAACCAGCCAAGUCGCGUGAAGGAUGACUGUCUUAUGGAUUGUAAACUUCUUUUAGACGGGAAUAACAAGAGUCACGUGUGACUCCCUGCAUGUACCGUAUGAAUAAGCAUCGGCUAACUCCGUG
rnacentral:rRNA from 1 species